GAACUUCGGGAGAAGGUGCGCCUCUUGGUGUGGUCACGUGCGUGACUGAGCAUCGAGGGGUCGCAGUAACCUGGCCGCUGCGACUGUUUAUCAAAAACACAGCACUCUGCAAACACGAAAGUGGACGUAUAGGGUGUGACGCCUGCCCGGUGCUGGAAGGUUAAUUGAUGGGGUCAGCCGCUAGGCGAAGCUCUUGAUCGAAGCCCCAGUAAACGGCGGCCGUAACGAUAACGGUCCUAAGGUAGCGAAAUUCCUUGUCGGGUAAGUUCCGACCUGCACGAAUGGCGUAACGACAGCGGCGCUGUCUCCACCCGAGACUCAGUGAAAUUGAAAUCGCUGUGAAGAUGCAGCGUUCCCGCGGCAAGACGGAAAGACCCCGUGAACCUUUACUAUAGCUUUACACUGAACGUUGAGUUCUUCUGUGUAGGAUAGGUGGGAGGCUAUGAAACCAGGACGCUAGUUCUGGUGGAGCCAUCCUUGAAAUACCACCCUGAAGUGCUUGACGUUCUAACCUAGGUCCGUAAUCCGGAUCGGGGACCGUGUAUGGUGGGUAGUUUGACUGGGGCGGUCUCCUCCCAAAGAGUAACGGAGGAGCACGAAGGUACGCUCAGCGCGGUCGGACAUCGCGCACUGUGUGCAAAGGCAUAAGCGUGCUUGACUGCGAGAUCGACGGAUCAAGCAGGUACGAAAGUAGGUCUUAGUGAUCCGGUGGUUCUGUAUGGAAGGGCCAUCGCUCAACGGAUAAAAGGUACUCCGGGGAUAACAGGCUGAUACCGCCCAAGAGUUCAUAUCGACGGCGGUGUUUGGCACCUCGAUGUCGGCUCAUCACAUCCUGGGGCUGUAGCCGGUCCCAAGGGUAUGGCUGUUCGCCAUUUAAAGUGGUACGCGAGCUGGGUUCAGAACGUCGUGAGACAGUUCGGUCCCUAUCUGUCGUGGGCGUUGGAGAUUUGAGGGGGGCUGCUCCUAGUACGAGAGGACCGGAGUGGACGUUCCGCUGGUGUUCGGGUUGUCAUGCCCAUGGCAUUGCCCGGUAGCUACGAACGGAAGUGAUAACCGCUGAAAGCAUCUAAGCGGGAAGCACGCCCCAAGAUGAGAUCUCCCGAGAGCUUGACUCUCCUAAAGGCACCAUCAAGACUAGGUGGUUGAUAGGCACGGUGUGGAAGUGCAGCAAUGCAUUGAGCUUACGUGUACUAAUGAGCCGCGAGGCUUGACC
rnacentral:rRNA from 1 species